CAAUACAUCAGGAAAGUGCAUGUUAUGCAACAUUUUUGGUACAUAAUCAGACCGUGUACUACGAGAGAAGGGAAAGGAACCCAAUCUGGUGUCCUCGUAAUUCGUGAACUGUUCUGGUCUUGUUCGUAGGUUUCCGGACUUCAGUUCAGCCAGUGGCCCCUAGUAAGCUAAUGUCGCAGCUGUGCUAAAAAACGUAGUCAGCACACCAAAUCUCACAGCUGUUUCUGGGAUCCAAUAUUGGUGCAAAAUCAACGAGUAUCUAGUCUGGUAAGUUUACUUUGAAGAUUUCCUGAAAUUUUUGGCUAAUUCGUCAUAUGCAUUUUUUAAAUACUGCACUCCUAUUCUUGAAGGCCAAUGGUUGCCUCACAGUUUUCGUGCAAACCAGGAAUCAGUGGCAUUGGGAUCUCUAGCAGCUUUGUUUGGUCAACUAAAUUAGAUGGAAUUGAAGGCAACCUCUGUAAGUUUAUUGGGGUGGAAACAAAGGAUACUAAGAUGUCUUUUGCUGCUAAUAUUUUUGGAGAGUUCAAGGAUACUAAUUUAGCAUGUGUCCAAAUGCUAACCAUGGGAACAUCAUUACAUGACAUUGUUCUGAUGCCAUGGAACCUUUCAAAAGGCAUAAUCUGUUAACUUUGUGCUGUUAAAUCCUGCUAAAAUAGAGAAUAAUCAAUACUAAAUGUCACAUUCUUUACAUGAGAGUUGAUUUAGCCAUGAACACGUAUUCACAACCUUUUAAGUUUUAUGUGAAGAGUAGGUUCAAUUACAAAUUUAAGACUUGUUAUUAUCCUUGGUACAUUCUGAAUUAUGUAAAACUAAAUUUCCUGAAACUUCGUUGGAACAAGCUAUCAAGUUCUUUAUCUUGAUUGUGGGAAUUGAAUUGACAAAUGCACAUCUCCGUCUCUGAAUGUUGUAAAUGAAGGGUGUAAGCAAAGCCUGCCAAAGUGCAUAUCGAAAUCUCCAUUUUUAAAAUAAUUGAUUCGGUCACUUCUUUUGAUCGAGCUUGUUCUUGGUCACAAGGAGAAAAGAUGGGAUCAAAGAGCUACUACUUCACGCUUGGCCUGGACUCUUCGAUUGGUCAACAAUGGCAAAUAGCAGCUGUGGUGCUUUUUCACUUGGAACCUGCUUUGGUUGGAGCUUAAGAUUCGCCUAAUUCGAAUGCCCCUCUUCCCCUUGCUUUGGAAUCAAAUCAUAAGACCUUUCCCAC
rnacentral:lncRNA from 1 species